GACGAACGCUGGCGGCGUGCUUAACACAUGCAAGUCGAACGGAAAGGCCCUGCUUGCAGGGUACUCGAGUGGCGAACGGGUGAGUAACACGUGGGUGAUUUGCCCUGCACUUCGGGAUAAGCCUGGGAAACUGGGUCUAUUCCCGGAUAGGAGCCAUUUUUAGUGUGAUGGUUGGAAAGUUUUUUCGGUGUAGGAUGAUCUCGCGGCCUAUCAGCUUGUUGGUGGGGUAAUGGCCUACCAAGGCGGCGACGGGUAGCCGGCCUGAGAGGGUGGACGGCCACAUUGGGACUGAGAGACGGCCCAGACUCCUACGGGAGGCAGCAGUGGGGAAGAUUGCACAAUGGGCGCAGGCCUGAUGCAGCGGGGCCGCGUGGGGGAUGACGGCCUUCGGGUUGUAAACGCCUUUCGCUAGGGACGAAGCUUUUUGUGACGGUACCUAGAUAAGAAGCACCGGCUAACUACGUG
rnacentral:rRNA from 1 species